CCCCGAGGAUUUCGGACUAAGCCUUCUGGGAUUCGGAGUUCCACAGACUGGAAGCCGAAGAGGUGCCCCAUCGGAGCUACCCGGCCCCAAUAUCCUUUACGCACAGGACCCAUUUGGAGCAGCAGGGUAGAGAGAGAUGUGCGCUGGGAGCUUUUCCCUUCCUCCUCCCACCCUCUGCCUGUGGACGCAGCAGGAGAGGUGGGAGGAGCAGUACCUGUCCUGCCGAUGCCUGCGCUGCAGUGCACCACAAUGGGUGGAUCAGGGCAAUGCCCCUUGCCGCGUGCUCCUAGGCUGUUGACAGCCAGGCUCUGCUGUCUUCUGACAACUCUCCGGAAGUCGAUAAGGGAAGCUGCUGAAGAUGGGACGCCGUAAUCUGGCCAGCUCAGGAACUGGAAGUGGCUCACCCGGCGCUCCUGCCGCUCCUGAGACGACAAAAGCAGCAAAAGCUAUCGAGGCCUUUUCUGUCUGCUCCCGAGUUCGAUUUGUCACCGUGAGGAAGCCAAAUCGGAUCCGAGAGUCUUUUUCUAAAGGCCAAUACUGUCCACAUUUUCUCCUGCCGCCUUCCUCAAAGCUGAAGACAGACAGAGAAGGUAGAAAGGGCCUGUACCUGACAAGGGAGUGGGAAAAACACUGGAUGCUACUGGGACUCUUGUGGAAAGACCUGCCCACCUCACCAGUUUUCUGUGGCCCCCAAGUACUUUGAGAAGGUGGAUGAGUAGAGGAGAGAAAAAGUCACAAGCAGCAGAACUAGAGAGCAAAGAGAAACUAGAAAUUCAGUAGCAAGGAAGACAGAUACACGCUUGGAUCUGGAGCCACAGGAAGGUGGACUUUCCCAUGUUCCCAGUACCUCCUUUAGUGGAUACGGCUACGACCUCAGGAUAGGCUCUAAUUGCCACUGGGUGACCACAGCCAUGGAAUAAAACUCUGCCAAAAAGG